rnacentral:rRNA from 1 species
UACAGAGGUGGCAAGCGUUGUUCGGAAUUACUGGGCGUAAAGGGCGCGUAGGCGGUCUUGUCAGUCCCUUGUGAAAUCCCCCGGCUCAACUGGGGAACUGCAAGGGAAACAGCAGGGCUUGAGUUCGGGAGAGGGAAGCGGAAUUCCGGGUGUAGCGGUGAAAUGCGUAGAUAUCCGGAGGAACACCGGUGGCGAAGGCGGCUUCCUGGACCGAUACUGACGCUGAGGCGCGAAAGCUAGGGGAGCGAACAGG